GUGAGGAAUAUUGGACAAUGGGCGCAAGCCUGAUCCAGCCAUGCCGCGUGCAGGAAGACGCAUCUAUGGUGUGUAAACUGCUUUUGUACGGGAAGAAACACUCCUUCGUGAGGGAGCUUGACGGUACCGUAAGAAUAAGGAUCGGCUAACUCCGUGCCAGCAGCCGCGGUAAUACGGAGGAUCCAAGCGUUAUCCGGAAUCAUUGGGUUUAAAGGGUCCGUAGGCGGUUUAAUAAGUCAGUGGUGAAAGCCCAUCGCUCAACGAUGGAACGGCCAUUGAUACUGUUAGACUUGAAUUACAAGGAAGUAACUAGAAUAUGUAGUGUAGCGGUGAAAUGCUUAGAUAUUACAUGGAAUACCAAUUGCGAAGGCAGGUUACUACUUGUGGAUUGACGCUGAUGGACGAAAGCGUGGGGAGCGAACAGGAUUAGAUACCCUAGUAGUCC
rnacentral:rRNA from 1 species